CCCUUAGAUGUUCUGGGCCGCACGCGUGCUUCACUGAGUAAUUCAAUGGGUAAGGGAACGCUAGAGCAUUACCUAAUCUUGAAAUUUGCUCGUGAUGGGGAUCGACGGUUGCAAUUUUCCGUCGUGAACGAGGAAUACCUUGUAGGCGCAUGUCAUCAUCAUGCGCCGAAUACGUCCCUGCCCUUUGUACACACCGCCCGUCGCUCCUACCGAUUGAGUGAUCCGGUGAGGCUCUGGGACCUGGACGGAAAGAGCGUUUCGCUUGUUCUGUUUGGGAAACUUGGUCGAACCUUAUCAUUUAGAGGAAGGAGAAGUCGUAACA
rnacentral:rRNA from 1 species